AUGGAACGGGUAGGUCGAGAUGGAGGAACGCCAGUCGUCUCCGGAUGCGGCGGCUCUAGCGAGAUGGGAAGAGUGGAGGGAGGCGGCAGCUGCGCUGGGAGUAGAGAGCGCCGAGCGGGGAAGGAGGGAGGCAGGGGACCGCUCCGACCCGGCCGCCCUCCAUGGGGUCGCCACCGAGGCGCGCGGAUGGAGGAGGAGACGAGGACGCGGCGGCACAGAUGGAGGAGGAGGCGAGGAGGCGGCACGGAGGAGGAGGCGAGGACGCGACUAGGGUUCGUGGGGAAGACGCGGUCUGCGCGGUCUCGCUCCUGCCAGCGCUGCCUGCCUUUUUGA
rnacentral:rRNA from 1 species